CACAAACACAUAUAUCAAAAGUAGGCCACCCCUUUCUCGAUCUGGUUCACGAUUCGGAGGCAGCAACACAGAAGGAACCUCCACCGCCGCCUGCUGCCGAGGAGAAGCCACCGGAGAAGAAAGAAGAUAAGAAAGCAGAGCAAGGAGAUGAAAAGAAAGCCGGCCACCCCCUUUCUCUCAGACCGUCCAAGACGUCAUUCCUCUUUCUCUUCAAGCCCAACCCUUCUACCGAAGCCACUGAGGGUUGAAUUGACGGUUAGCGCAGCGUUAGAGCAAAGAAGAUAGCGGCACAGCUGAUUAGCAUUGAGAUUAAACAAGGAUUCGCCCCUUUCUCCAAGCCCUAACCUUAGCCCCCUCUCUCAUUCGAAGUCCUAAAUUUGAAGGACACGAAUUAAGCUGCGGUGGCAUGGGAAGCUGAGAAGCCACUGGUGAUCAAAGAAGUGGAGGUUGCACCCCCACAGAAAAUGGAAUUUAGUUUGAGGAUUCUCUUCACUUCCUUCUGUCACACUGACGUCUACUUUUGGGAAGCCAAGGUUUUUUCUUCACUAAUCUGAUUUUCACAAGUAAAAUAUAGUAUGUAAUUUGCAUGUUAUACUUGAACUUGUUUUCUCUCUAACUGAACCUUUAAAUUUUCUCUGUAGCUGUCCCAUAUCUAAAAACCCAAGCUUGGAUCCACAGUUUAAUGUAUAAAUCAGUUUUUCCUA